GGCUUCUGGUACCGCAGCUUGAUCUUCAGGGUGCCAACAUGCGGGCCAGACAUGUGGUACCAGAAAGUCAUACAGUGUGCAGAGUUCUGCGAGUAAAUGAUGGGGCUCAACAGCCGGGCAACUUUGCCUUUCUGGCUUUCGUCAGCUUGAGAGUAGAUGAAGUUGCCAUCUCCUGUGUGGUCUUGAAUUGGCCCAGUUUUGCUGGUCAGAAUUGCCCACUUCAGAUCCACCUGGUUGUCAUGUUCCCAUUGGCACAAAGUCUUGUGGGAUCCCCAGCCAAAGCCACAGUUUAAGUUGUACGGUGGCAGUUCUGGUUGUACUGUAUUGUCUAUUACCGUCGGCUUUUCUGUGUUCAGCACGGUAGUUCCACCUGUGCCACUGUGACAGUUCGCCUGGUCAUCAUCACACUCAUCUACGGGCUUGCCUUCGGAAACAGUAGGGACAGCCGUGGGAGCUUCAAGUUCACAUCCCAGCAGCUCCAUUCGAAGUCCCAGUCCUGCGUGUGUGGCUCUCUCAGGGUAGACGCGGAUGAAUCUCGUUGAUACGGGUUCAAAAGUCCGCAGUUCAGGUGUGUCGUAGUUGGUGUUGCCUUCAAAAGUCUUUAUCUUUUUCUUGCUGGAAUCCAUGAUCAUUUUCCAAUCUGAUCCAUUGUUGCUGUAGCCAAUUUUGAAUUUUUUCAUGAAUACUUUGUUUUCUCGGUGCUUCCCUCCUUGGACAAUAAUGCCCCUCACUAUUUUUUCUUCACCAAGGUCUAUCUGAAGCCAUUCAUUUGUAUAUGGAUGAGUAGUUGGUGGCAGCGCCCAGCCUG
rnacentral:lncRNA from 1 species